GACGAACGCUGGCGGCGUGCUUAACACAUGCAAGUCGAACGGAAAGGCCCUGCUUUUGUGGGGUGCUCGAGUGGCGAACGGGUGAGUAACACGUGAGUAACCUGCCCUUGACUUUGGGAUAACUUCAGGAAACUGGGGCUAAUACCGGAUAGGAGCUCCUGCUGCAUGGUGGGGGUUGGAAAGUUUCGGCGGUUGGGGAUGGACUCGCGGCUUAUCAGCUUGUUGGUGGGGUAGUGGCUUACCAAGGCUUUGACGGGUAGCCGGCCUGAGAGGAUGACCGGCCACAUUGGGACUGAGAUACGGCCCAGACUCCUACGGGAGGCAGCAGUGGGGAAUAUUGCACAAUGGGCGGAAGCCUGAUGCAGCAACGCCGCGUGCGGGAUGACGGCCUUCGGGUUGUAAACCGCUUUCGCCUGUGACGAAGCGUGAGUGACGGUAAUGGGUAAAGAAGCACCGGCUAACUACGUA
rnacentral:rRNA from 1 species